GGCAGGUCAUUAGGUCAAUAUAACCUCUGUAUUGCAAUUUACGCGAUGAUUUGGUGCACCGGCAUUGCAUUAUAUGGUGAGCCGAAAACCAAAUGGGAUUAAACAUGGCAUAACUGAUGUAGUGAUGUAGUGAUCUCUGUAUGUAGAUGUAGUGAUGUGUGUGUAUAUGUUAUGCUGAUGUAGUAAUGUAGUGAUGUCUUGGUAUAGUAGGACAUUUUCAUGGCUUGGGUUCAUCAGUCGGUGGGUGGUUCAGAGAAAAAACCAAUAAUUAGGAGGCAUCAUUAUAGUUGACAAGUUUCCUUACCAUUCUAGUUCUUGCCCCGUGAUUAUUUUGUCACGAAGCUUAUCUUGGCUAUCAAACCAUCGACCGGCAUCCGGCCUCCUCCUCCUCCUACUCAGCAUUUCCAACACAACAGUGCCACAGCCGUAAACAUCUGACUUGAAAGAUAUUGUUCCAAACUUCAGAAAAUAUUAUAGCAUUUAAAUAUUUCUGAGUACGACAAGUUAAACAGUUGAAAGCCGUAUUUUUCAUCUUUUGAGAAAGCCGAGCCAUCUUUUUAGACAUAAGAACUUGAUGCACAUCACUAACUCCUCUGCCCUCUGGUGACUAUUGUAUAGCAAAUCUCUCAUUGUGCAGUUUUUUUCCUUAAAAAAACUCUGAAUUUCAGCAGUCCCCACAAAACGAGUCAUUUAUCUGAAACAGAAGUUCUACUAUUACAGAAGUGUGUUAAGUUCAUUUGUAACCCUCUUCGUACAAGAAGAAAUUUUGUCAGAUCUACAUGAUGUCCACUCCAUAUAAAACUGAAGUACUAUCACAUAGGAACUGUGAAGCAACAAAGAGAGCUUAGGGACCAUAAAGGAACUUCCUGCCUUUCCAAACUUAGUGGAUUAUUGAGAGUACAAUAAGCACUUGUUGAUACUAAACAUUUGGUGUUUAUUAGUCUCUCGAAGUCCCAAUUUGCUUUCAUAUGGUCCAUUUCUCAGCUUUCCCUGCACAUGUGAAAAUUUUAAACAUGCUAUUAAUUUCAAGUACAAUUACUAGAAACAGAUUUGCAACGGGAGAAACUGGACAAAACAAUAAAAUUGACUCAUUCGUCUGUUUUAGAGACCAAGACGAAGAGGGCUAAAAAUGUCUUAUUCACAAUGAUGGUUCUGCGGUUCCUGUGCAACAGAGAAGGAUGGCCAGAGCCUUGUUAUCUUGGGUUCUCUGGCCAAUAUGUAAAGAAUGCAAACUAGGCAUCUUAGUAUCUCUGGAGUGCUGAAGCAGCAACAUUGACUUCACCGUUGAUCAAGUCCUUGAAGUGCCUCCCUCACUGGUGAAUACGGUUACAGGGCUGGGAUAGUGUUAGGUUUAGAAGAACCUCAUGGGGGAAAACCCAGGAAAUAUGGAUCAAGAUCGAAGAUCCGUGUGGCACUGUGACCUUAAUCUAUGAAAAUGAUAUAUGUGUGUGGCUACUGGAAAAAUCUAGGCAAUUUACAGUUAUGUUAUGAACUUUGCAAGAUAAAUUUUAAUCUGAGUUCCUCCUCCUGCUCACAUCUUUGCAAGCUAAGAAUCUGAAUUCUUUGUAUUGAAAAUGUAGCAAAAUCCUUUCAGUCAGUGGAAGGAAGAAUAAACAUCUCAUCAAUUAUCAACACUUUUUGGUUAUCUGGGAUGUUUAAGAAAGAGCAAAAAUUUAUCAAUGCGUGUACAUUUUACAGUUUGCUCGUAACGUCUUACAAUAGAUUUGAGCUACCUUUUCUCCAUUUGAGGAAAUCAAGCUGUACCUAAUUUCAACAAAAUCAAGUGGGCAAGCUGCAGAACAUAAAGGCACUUGCGGUAACUAACAUACCAGACUGCCCAUUUACUUCUCUGCUUUAUUGGAGCAAUGACAAUUUUACAACAUGUUAGUAAUUUUUAAUUUCAACCAUGAUAACUCAAACUAGAUUUGCGCUACAGGUGGAGCUGAAGAGCAAUGCAUGUGGAGCUCAAAGGAACACAAAUGAUUUCAUCUGUUGUGGAUCAAAGAAGGUUUGCAAUACUGAUAUAUUAUGCAGGUUAGCAUAACUCAAAAGUUGUAAUAAUUUGAGAAAAUACAACAGACCAUGAAUUCUGUUUUACAUAAGAGAAUCUCCUACGCACAAUCUAAUUGCCUACCUUGUCUGAAUUGUCUCUGUUUCACCUGGGGCCUGAUACAUCUGAGGCUAGAGGUGGCGCUGAAGAGCUCACAUUUCCUGUUCUACCAAAAUUUGCUGGAGUUGUUACAACAAAGUUAUGCUCUAUGUUGAGGUCUGCAGUCAUGACACCUUCCAAUACUUUUACCACCUCAGACAUUUUAGGCCUUUUUUUGCAAUCAAUCUGCAAGCACCACAUUGCAAGCAUCAUCAUCUGAAUGCAUCUUGCUUGUGUGCUUGCAUGUCGUUGCUGUUAUUGUCAAUCAAAUCUACCAACUGAUCAUUCUUUACCUUUUCCUCCAAUAGGCUGAUGAGAUGGAUGCUCUCUUCUGACCGGGAAGUGUCGAGGUUCUUUCUUCCACUGAUGAUUUCCAUGACCACGACGCCGAAGCUGUAGAUAUCCGCCUUUUCUGUGAUCUGUGAUGUCAACCAUUCAGGAGCUAAAUAUCCAGGCGUGCCUCUCAUUCCGGUAACCACUUGGCUCAUAUCCCUGUCUAUGAGUUUGCAUAGUCCAAAAUCAGAAAGUUUAGCAUUAAAGUCAUCAUCUAAGAGGAUGUUUUGUGGUUUGACAUCCAAAUGAGCAAUUCGUUUUGUGCACUCCUCGUGAAGAUAAGAGAGGCCCUUAGCUAUAUGAGUUAUAAUCUUGCACCGCGUGCUCCAAUCCAGAGGAGAAGCAUCAUUGUCAUGUCGGCAAUAGAUCCAUCUGUCCAAGGAUCCUUUGGGCAUGUACUCAUAUACCAAGAGCCUGUGGGAUUUCUCUGCACAGAAACCAAUCAAUCUCACCAGAUUAAUAUGAUGAAUGCUGCCAAUUGUCUGAACUUCUGCCGAAAAUUCUCUUUUGCCCUGACCAGUUCGAUCCAAACGUUUUACUGCAAUCCUUUCAUCAGCAAAUUGACCCUUGAAAACAGACCCAAAUCCUCCUUCCCCGAGCUUGUCUUUGAACUGCUCGGUUGCUGCUCUUAGCUGUUGAAAUGUGAACCUCAUUGGUGUUCCUUGUAGCUCCCCAAACUCUUCCUCUUCUUCCAUCUCAUGUUGUUGUUGUGUUCUUCGUUUACAUAUAAAGAAGGCGACGAGGAACAAGAUGGUGAGAAAAAUGAAGCCGCCUACAGGAGGUAGAAUUGCAACAACUCUUCUUCCAGAGGGGGAUUUCGGUUUCAUGCUUGUUGGCCCAAUAGUUGUAGGUAGAGUACUUGGGGUCGGAGGUGUUGCCUUGGCUGGGGGUGCAGGCAGGGGACUUUCAGCUGUAGGUGAGAGUGUUUGAUUAAUCAGGGGACAGAAGAUGACCUGGUACUUUGUGCCCGACGGGCAAGAGUAAGUGGAUGUAUCAUCAGGCUUGCUGUAGGCAUCUGGGCACAUCUGCUUAACGAAGGCCGAGUAACUUGUGUUGCAACGGCUUGCCGUGCUCCCAGUACAUGCAUUGCUACACCCUCCCGGAGCCUCCAGCUCUCUUGGGCACUGCGAUGUGAUGUUGGCUGCACAACGCGGCCCCUUGCUGCACCCUGACCUUCCCUGAAUCGGCACCGGCAGGAAGUCCAUGGGCACGUUGAAGCCAUCAAUGAGCGAGAUGUCGAAGAAAUCAUCAACACUUUGGCCUUGGCCAAGACUGAACUCGCCCAGCGUGCUUGGCGAUCGACCACUGGCCGUACAUGCGAGCAAGCCGCUGCAGUCACCAGUUUGGCAUGACCCGCCUUCGUCAAGGAGUGAGCAGCCUGUGCGCGGCCAGAUGCGCCCUGUUGAGGUACCAGCGGGCAUGUUCAGCGCCCAUGUCUCCCCCGGAUCGAGCUUCACGCCACCUCCCGGCAGAGCGGCUGGCCACACGGUGUAGGAGCAUUGGUUGAUGAUUUUGAAUGUGGUGGCCUCGCUGGUGGCUGCGAGUAGGAGUACGAGGAGGAGAGGGAGGAGGUGGAGACACGAAGAGGUACUCGCCACUGCCAUUUUUGGUACGAUUUUUUUGCUUGCACGCGUUAACUUGAAACACAGUCUGAGUUGGAAACUUGCAAUAGGGUUCCUGUGAUGGCUAACAGGGUGGAAGAGUGGUAGGGGAUUGUAGAUAGGGACUGCAUCUGUGUGUUGAUUCAUUCAACGGUCAGCAAAAAAACAGCCUAACAUGCCUAUAGCCAUGACUGUUUGAUAGGAACAGACUUGCUUGUUUGCUUGUUUAGUCCCUUUUGAAUUGUAGCUGUACGUCUUCCAAAGAAAAAGAAUGGGAAUCUUUGCAUCUGCAUAACGUGUUGUUUGAUCAAUUUUUCUGCCUAACAAAUUCUUUAAGCUGAUGUAGACCUAAACCCUAAACCCUAACUGCGCACUUUUCUGCCUUUAAGGAAAUUGUUAGGUUGCACAUCUUAAUUUGUUCAUUCCUAAUCUGCUGUUAUGAUUUGUCACGUCAUUCCUGAUCUGGAAUCUGGAGUCACCAACAGUUUAGAGGUAAUCUGGUGUUUGGGGGCAAAGCUGAAGCUGACAGCGGUUGGCAGCUGCCUCGAAGCAGCUGGAGGCCUCCUUCACCCGUCGACGACUGGCCUAGCUAUCAUACGCCGUCAACCACAUGGAACCAUGCAUGCAUGUCUCACUCAUCAUAACUGUUAGACCGGCAUAUUAGGGGCUUAGUCCAGUGGGCUGUGACCCAAGUUAUUUUAUAGUUAUUAGGGGUUUAGCCCAAUUAUCUUAUCGUUAUUAGGGUCGUUUGCUUAGGUGUCAAGUAAACCUCCUUAUAUAAGGAGAGGAGAUGUAUCAAUCUAAUUAAGUAAGAAGUAAUCAGUAUUUGCUCAGCUUCCCUUAGGGAGCCGGGAGACCUAACCCUAGCUGCCUCUUGCACCGCCGCCGUCUCUUCUCCACCACGCAAGGACGGCGCCCAGCCGCCGGCCGCCGCGCCCUCGACCUCGUCUUCCUCCAUCUUUCUCCUACAAUCUCCGCCCUAGAACCGGCAGAACCCUAGCUCCUAACACUUUGGUAUCAGGUAGCUCAGUUUCGAUCAUGUCUUCGCCGCCGCCCAUCCCGUCGCUUCCGCUGCCGACCGUCACCACCGCGCCGCUGCUCUCCCCGUCCGCGCCGCUGGUCGCAUCCUCCGGUGCCACCACCACCCAGAUGACGAUGCCCUCCACCGCACCACCGGCCGCCGUCUACUCCCCGGCGGAGAUCACCGGGGUCCUCAACGAUCUCGUCACCGCCGUCCAGGGGAUACGGCUAUACCUAGCCGGCCCCUACGGGCCGCCGGCCGCCGCGACCGGCCCAGCCGCCCUGCCAUGGUAUUCGGCACCCGCGGCGCCGACCGGGCCUCUACACCACCACUGGCCGGUUUAGCCGCCGCCCGCCGCCGCGCCCCAAUGGCCGCAGUGGCCGGCGCCGGCCCUCGCCGCGUCACCCACGCUACCCGGGUCCUCGCCGCCACCGCCCUGGCAGCCCUGGUAGCCGUCGGACCCCAGGGCCACCGCGACGCUGGUUGGGCCACUACAGCCCUCGCUGCAGCUACAACCAGCCCCCGCCACCGCCCCGAUCUGGCCACAAUGGUUGGCCCCGGCCAUCGCCGCGCCCGCCGCCUCCGCCGUUUCCAGGCAGCAGCAGCUGCCACUGCCGGCGCCUCCGCCGCCCAGCACCGGGCUGACUACAACCGCGCCGGCGGGCGUGCCGAUUCAGCAAGUGCGGUACCCGCCCUCGCCGUCCCAGCUUCCGGCCUGGUUGGCCGGGACGUCACCGCCGCCAGUCUACACCGUGGCCGCGGACCAGCAGGCGCCCUCCCUGCCGUAUGACGGGCCCUCCGGCUCCACAGGUUUCCACACUGGCUUCGACGGGUCAUCGCUUUCCUGCGGACCACCUGUGCACAACGGACCAACACCAUCUUCUUCGCUGCUCCAUAUCGCCGAGCCAUACACUCACGCGGUCAUGCUCAGACGCAGGCAAGGCUUUUGCAUCUUUCAACAAAAGAAAAGAAAAAGCUUCGGACCCGGCCUGUGAUGUAUGAACUCUUAAUGUGGCUGUCAUUAAGAGCCUAUAGAAUAAAUUAAGUUCUUUUUUUGUGAUGUAUGAACUCUUAAUUUAUAUACUAACGAAUAAAUUAAGUUCUGCUGUAGAGCAAGAAGGUUUGUAAUGUUAAAACAUUUUGUAUGUAAAAUUAACUCAAGAGAAGCGGCUUUAGAUUGUACUAAUUUAGAAAGAUUCAACAUACAAAUCUUUUACUCAUUUCACUUGGCACGUGAUACAAUGGACAAAUCUUUCACUCCAGAUAAGCGGUUCAUAUUUUCAUUGUCCUAUUAUUCUAUUUUUAGUUUUAAAUUCAUGAAUAUUUUUAAAAACUUGUGAACAUUUUGAAUUAAUUAAAAUAAUUUGAAUUUAUGAAGUUUUAUAAGUAGAAAAAUAUUUUUAACUCGUGGACAUUUUUAAAUUUGAAUAAACUGACCGAAAUAAAAAAACCAGCUAGAAAAAUCGCUGAAAUAGAAACAGAGCUUUUUUAGUGCUUUUUUAGGCAUAUUUUUUUGAGGUGUUUAUGAGGGAUAAAUAGAAAGAGAGCUUUUUUAUCAGGGGUUGCGACAUUCCGUGGGCUGCAUAGAUCGGGCCAUAUACGCCCGCAUGAGGCAGGGGCCUGCGCUCAAGAAAAGAAUAACUUUUGUCUCAAAAAGAAUUAACCUUUCUCCUCCAGCCAUUGCCGGCGGCGCCCCCAUCCGCGGCGAAGUCGCCGGUGAAGUUGGUCAUCUGGCCGCAGGGCAUUUCUGUCGCCAUAUCUGGCGCCCAGUACCACGUAUUUCUACCGCGCUCCAUCAGCAGCCGCGCCGCCCCUAAUCGCCGGCCUCCAGCGAGGGGAACCGCGUUGCCGUCUUUCGGUUUGAUCCCCCUCAAUCCUCAUCGGUGGAGGUAAACUCCCUUAUCAAUUACUCACUCGGGCAGAAAUUCGAUGAUGAAACACUCACGCAUGGGUUCUUCAGUAGGGACAAGCAUGGCAGGUCAAGGAUAAGGUUUGGGAUGAACCACAUGAAGCGUCAGGCAGGUCAAUAUAACCUCUGUAUUGCAAUUUACGCGAUGAUUUGGUGCAACGGCAUUGCAUUAUAUGGUGAGCCGAAAACCAAAUGGGAUUAAACAUGGCAUAGCUGAUGUAGUGAUGUCUAUAUGUCUUGCUGAUGUAGUGACGUAGUGAUCUCUGUAUGUCUUGGUAUAGUUGGACAUUUUCAUGGCUUGGGUUCAUGGUUGGCGGGUGGUGCAGAGAAAAAACCAAUCAUCAGGAGGCAUCAUUAUAGUUGACAAGUUUCCUUACCGAUUCUAGUCCUUGCCCUGUGAUUAUUUUGUCACGAAGCUUAUCUUGGUUAUCAAACCAUGGACCGUCAUCCGAGCUCCACCUACUCAGCAUUUCCAACACAACCGUGCGACAGCCGUAAACAUCUGACUUGAAAGAUAUUGUUCCGAAGUUCAGAAAUUAUUAUACUCCAUCCGUCUCCAAAUAAGUGUCGUUGAUGUAGUACAAAGUCGUACUAAUUUUGUACUAAAUCAGCGACACUUAUUUUGGGACGCAGGGAGUAGCAUUUAAAUAUUUUCUGAGCACGACAAGUUAAACAGUUGAAAGCCAUAUUUUCCAUCUUUUGAGGAAGCCGAGCCAUCUUUUUAGACAUAAGAACAGGAUGCAUAUCACUACCUCCUCUGCCCUCUGGUCAUUGUGCAGUUUUUCAUUCAAAAAACUCUGAAUUUCAGCAGUCCCCACAAAAUGAGUCAUUUUUCUAGACAGAGGUUUCACCAUUGGAGAACUGUGUGCAAAGUCCAUUUUUUUGCCCUCUUCUGGAUUUUUUCUGUUAUGUCUGUAUGAUGGCCGCUCCAUAUAAAACUGGAGUAUUACAUAGGAACUGUGAAGGAACAAAGAGAGCUUAGAGAUGAUUAAAGGAACUCCCUGCCUUUCCAAACUUAGUGGAUUAUUGUUAGUACAAAAAGCACUUGUUGAUACUAAACAUUUGGUGUUUAUUAGUGUCUCGAAGUCCCAAUUUGCUUUCAUACGGUGCAUCUCUCUGCUUUCUCCACACAUGUGGAAAAUUUCAAGCUUAUUCGUCCAGCCCAGGAAAGAAUGCAAAAUUUCAAGUACAAUUACUAGAAACAGAUUUGCAAUGGGAGAAACUGGACAAAACAAUAAAAUUGACUUAUUCGUCUGUUGUAGAGGCUCAGAAGCUGCUUGGAAUCAGCUCAAGACCAAGACGUCUUUACUGACGAAAAUGUCUUAUUCACAAUGAUGGUUCUGCGGUUCCCGUGCAACAGAGAAGGAUGGCCAGAGCCUUGUUAUCUUGGGUUCUCUGGCCAAUAUGUAAAGAAUGCAAACUAGGCAUCUUAGUAUCUCUGGAGUGCUGAAGCACCAACAUUGACUUCACUGUUGAUCAAAUCCUUGAAGUGCCUCCCUCGCUGGUGAAUACGGUUACAGGGCUGGGAUAGUGUUAGGUUUAGAAGAACCUCAUGGGGGAAAGCCCAGGAAAUAUGGAUCAAGAUCGAAGAUCUGUGUGGCACUGUGACCUUAAUCGAUGAAAAUGAUAUUUGUGUGUAGCUACUGGACAGAUCUAGGCAAUUUACAGUUAGGUUAUGAACUUUGCAAGCUAAAUUUUAAUCUGAGUUCCUCCUCCUACUCACAUCUUUGCAAGCUAAGAAUCUGAAUUCUUUGUAUUGAAAAUGUAGCAAAAUCCUUUCACAGUCAGUGGAAGGAAGAAUAAACAUCUCAUCAAUUAUCAACACUUUUUGGUUAUCUGGGAUGUUUAAGAAAGAGCAAAAAUUUAUCAAUGAGUGUACAUUUUACAGUUUUCUUGUAACGGCUUACAAUAGGUUUGAGCUACCUUUUCUCCUUUUGAGGAAAUCAAGCUGUACCUAAUGUCAUAAAAAACAACGAAACCAAUGCAAGAAAAGUAUAACAAAGAUACCAGGUUGUCCUUCUAAUGUGACAAUGAAGAACUGAUAAUUAGCACAUUCUUCUUCCACUUCUUAAAAGCAAAAGACUAUUCUGGUUAACAUUCUUCUUCCUCUUCUUAAAAGCAAAAGACUAUUCUGGUUAUGAGUUGUUCAAACAUGAUAUUGGUUAAGAUUCAAACAUGAUACUCAAGGUAGCAUGACAAUUGACAAGCACCAAAUAGUCCUACUAUAAGUACUAAAACAUAUGUCAAGGAUCAUUCUACUUCAAUCAACACAUGGAUAGACAAUAAACAAGUUGACGUAUGGCAUGCAUCUUUCUGACCUGCUGAAAAACACUGAAAUUCCUCUCACAAGCCGAGGAGCUGCAUGUCAAACUCAAAAUCCGCAUCGCCAAUACCCUGAGAUUUGGUGCACUUGACCCAUGAUUGGACCACCAAUCAGCUUCAUUAAGAGUAAAAAACGGAGUUAAGAAAGCAUUGCAAGUUCUGAUUUGAGAAUGGAGAAAAAAUUAAAUGUAAAUAUGCACCUGGAUCAAAGUUUUUGUUUUUCCGCUGCCUUUUAGCAAUGUCUCUUCCAAAUGACCCCUCUUCACCUUGAUAUGCCUUAAGCUCAUCCGUGAUUUUGUCUUGAAGGAGAACAUCUUCCACCAUUUUUCCCAUGCAACUUACAAUCCCAUCUUUAAAUGUUGGAUCCAACAAAAUUUGUAGCUUGUUUUCAUAAAAGUAGUCUGGAUUUAAGAAGUAUCCAGCCCUAUGUAGUGGCCUCUUCAAUUUGUUGUCCCAUCUUUUAUCCACUAUAUCCAACACUUCUUGAAAACAAGAUUCUUGUUGUUCAUUUUCACACUUGGCUGAGAUCUCUUUCUUUGCAUCCAAAAAGGCGCCGUAUAUGAAUCCCAUAGCUGGUACAUCGCUGUCCAUUCUCCUUAGCAAGUUAGCCAAUGGUUCAAAGAACUUUACGGCAAUAUCUACUCCUCUCCAAAAAGAUUCAGAGCGCACAGUUUUGUUGGUUUCACUUCCUUUAGCCUUUUUUAGAUAGCCCAUUUCAUCAAGUUGAUCUGAUCUAAAUAGCUUCUGGAGUUGCUUCUUGUUAUCCAGCAUGCUCUUCAAGUUGAAGUAUGAUGUAGCAAACCUAGUAAUACCUGACCUAACCAGAUCUUUCCCAAGGAACUCCCUCAUUAGGCUCAAAACCCUUAUGUGUGCAUAAAGGAAAACCGUCACAGCUCUAUCUUUUGUAAUAGUGGAGUCAACUGAUGGCAGCUUACCGAUGUCCUCUAGCAUCAAAUCAAUACAAUGGGCAGCACAACCAUUCCAGAAUAUGUUGGGCCGCUUUGCAUUCAACAAAGUUGAUGCUGCCUGAUUCACACUUGCAUUAUCAGUCACCACUUGAACUACAUGUUUCUCCCCAAUCUCUUCAAUGCAAUCAUCUACAAGCUGAAAGAUGUACUUGCCAUCCUUCUUCACAGCUGAACAAUCAAAAGAAUCGAGAAAAACCACACCAUAUGCACUAUGGACUACCAGAUUCAUUACCCCUCUUCCUCUUAUGUCGGUCCACGCAUCUGUCAUGAUUGUACAUCCAAUGAGCUCCCAAGCUUCCCUGUGUGCUUUGAAGGAUUCCAUCACUUUCUUCUUCCUCUUCUUCAAGAAUGGGCCACCCAUUUCAUAAGGACUAGGACCUGGCAAGUCUUCGCCGUAUUGUCCAACUGACUGAAGCAUAAGGGCAAAGCUUGGAAGUGUGACUGAAUUGAAGGGAAUGCAUGCUUCAUAGAAGAACUGGCAUAUGUACUCACAAGCACGGUUCCUUUUCUUCAGUCUCUCCCCAGUUGUCAGCUUUAAUUGGAUGCUCUCACUAGAUUUUGCCUUCCUUGCAGCGAUAGCAUCUUCAGUUGAUAGUUGGCAGAAUUUGUCCAUAGGCCCACCCGAGGAUUUAGAUGUUUUGCCUCUCGCCGACUUAAGCAUAACAACAGAAUUGCUUCUGCCAUCUUCAUCACUUGAACCUUCCCCCUUUGAGUGGCUCAAGUCCACUUCACAUCUAAUCCUCUUCUGCUCUGAAAUUUUUGCUGCCUUUUUAUCACCCUUCUUUGUCAAAAACUCAGUGAUUUCAUCCCUUACAUCAGCUGGCACUUUUGUACAGGGAACAACACCGGAAGUUGGAAUGUUUGCAAGGUGGAGCUUGAUUCGAGCAAUACCAUUGGUGUACAAAUGAUUACAGAAAAUGCACUUCAAAGAAUUCCUCUUGUUUUCGUCAGGACAACUGCAAUAUUUCCAUCCUGGGUCUUUUGAUUUCACAUUCACAACUACAACUUCUCCUUGCACCGUUGAUGCUGUGCUUGAAGCACCAAUGCCUACAAUCAGACAAAGUAUAUAUCAAUGCCUACGUCUUCAGUGCAGUACAUAUAUCUUUAGUACAGAGUAAAUAUAUCUUUAGUACAGAGUACAUAUAUCUUCAGUAGAGAGUAAACACCACCAAAAUGAACCACAUGGUGCAAAUAAAAUCGGCCCAUCCAAGCAUUAACACCAAAUAAUCACAGAUAAUUAGUCAAAAUGAACCACAUGGUGCAAGUUAAUUAGUCAAAACCGUAAACCAUAUUGAGGAAAUCAACAUCUUUCUAUGAAUAAGUGAAUAACUGAAUAUACAGGGAUCUCCUUCUGAAUCCUACUUCCCUUUGUUGGUGCUCUUGCCGGCGUUCAUCUGGUGGUGCUCUUGCUGGCGACAUAGCGGGAGACGGGGAGGGCAUGGAGAUGGCACAAGGGAAACUGGGUAUGUGACGGUGUGGAUGCUUGAUUACCUAGUGGUUGACUUGCCAACGGUGUGGUUGACAUCGCCCGUCGGUGCUAGGAAUAGGAUGGAGUCGAGAUGGAGGACGCCGCCGCCACGAGAGGAUGAUGCCGCCGCUGCUCACGUGAAGAUGUUGCCGCCGCGCUGAUGACUUGAUGCUGUCGCUCCCUGCGCUCACGCCCAGAUGUUGCCACCGCAGCCGCCGCUCAUCUGGGCUGGGAACUAGGAAGGGGGUGAGAUGUGAGAACUAGGGUUAGCCGGUUAGGUCAUGGGAGACUGAUAAAAGGAGUGAGAAAGGUUGUUGUCGUGGGUUGGUUUCGGCUUGCUGGGCCUGCUGGGCUGUGCUUAUUUUAGUUUUGCAUGGUCUGCAUGUUUAAACGUCAAACGCUACAACGUUAUAGCGUCUGUAGCGCGCUAAUAGCGCGAUUAGCGCCGUAGCGGCCGAUUUUGCCAAAAUGUAAUGUCUCCCUUCCGAAUAUGCUAUAACCGCGCUAUAACGGCGAAAUAGUGUGCUAUUUUUUUUCGUUGGGUAAUACCCUACGUCCUGCUUGAUUGUUCUUGAUGAUAUGAGUAUUACAAGAGUUGAUCUAUCACGAGAUCGUAGAGACUAUACCUUAAAAGCUAGCCUAUGUUAUGAUUGUAUGUUGUCCUACGGACUAAACCCUCCGGUUUAUAUAGACACCGGAGGGGGCUAGGGUUACACAGAGUCGGUUACAAGGGAGGAGAUCUACAUAUCUGUAUGACCAAGCUUGCCUUCCACGCCAAGAAAAGUCCCAUCCGAACACGGGACGAAGUCUUCAAUCUUGUAUCUUCAUAGUCCAACAGUCCGGUUAAAGAAUAUAGUCCGGCUGUCCAAAGACCCCCUAAUCCAGGACUCCCUCAGCUGGGAUAGUGUUAGGUUUAGAAGAACCUCAUGUGGGAAAACACAGGAAAUAUGGCUCAAGAUCAAAGAUCCGUGUGGCACCGUGACCUUAAUCAAUGAAAAUGAUAUAUGUGUGUAGCUACUGGACAAAUCUAGGCUGUUUACAGUUUGUUUAUGAACUUUGCAAACUAAAUUUAAUCUGAGUUCCUCCUCCUACUCACAUCUUUGCAAGCUAAGAAUCUGAAUUCUUUGUAUUGAAAAUGUAGCAAAAUCCUUUCACGGUCAGUGGAAGGAAGAAUAAACAUCUCAUCAAUUAUCAACACCUUUUGGUUAUCUGGGAUGUUUAAGAAGGAGCAAAAAUUUAUCAAUGAGUGUACAUUUUACAGUUUUCUUGUAACAGCUUACAAUAGGUUUGAGCUACCUUUUCUCCUUUUGAGGAAAUCAAGCUGUACCUAAUGUCAUUAAAACCAAGUUUGACAUGCUGCAGAACAUAAAGGCACUUGCGGUAACUAACAUAUACCAACUGAUCGGUUUUUGUUAGUUAGUCCCUUGGACUGCCCAUUUACUUCUCUGCUUUAUUGGAGCAAUGAGAAUUUUACAACAUGUUAGUAAUUUUCAAUUUCAACCAUGAUUACUCAAACCAGAUUUGCGCUACAGGUGGAGCUCAAGAGCAAUACACGUGGAGCUCAACGGAAGCAAAUGAGCUCAAAGGAACAUUUUAAAAUUAUUGAACAUUUUUCAGCUGGAAUACAUUAAAAUCAGAGAAACAGCCGAAAUAAAAACAGAGCUGAAGAGCUACACAAAAAAAUCUGGGUGCGACAAUCCGUGGGCUGCAUACUUGGCUGGGCUGUCCAUGCCCGCACGAGCCAGGGGCCUUGCUGCUCUUACCCUUCCUCCUCCGACGCUCAAAGAAAAAGAAAAGGGAAACAUUUCUCCACCAACCGUUGCCGGCGGCAGCCCUAUCCGCGGCGAAGUCGCCGGUGAAGUGGGCCGUCUGGCUGCAGGGCAUUGCCUCCCAUUCCUUGUGCCCAGUGCCACAUCUUUCCACCGCGCCCCAUCCAGCAGCCGCGCCGUCCCUAGUCGCUGGCCUUCUUCGGUUUGACCCCCUCAGUCCUCGUCGCUCGUCGGUGGAGGUAAUUAGCCAACUCCCGUGUUAAUUACUUUCUCAGGCAGCAAUUCGAAGAUGAAACCCUCACACAUGGUUUCUUCAGUAGGGAGAAGCAUGGCAGGUCAAGGAUGAGGACGGUGAUGAACCACGCGAACACCAGGCGCAGGCGGUUCAAUGUAAGCAGCAGCCUCUCCAUUGCAAAUUAUUUGAUGAUUUGGUGCAACGCCAUUACAUUAUAUGGUCAGUGGAAAACCAAAUGGGAUUGUGGUCAGUAGCAUAACUGAUGUAGUGAUGUAGUAUAUGGCUAGCUAAUUAACAGUCCAAGAGUAACCGAGUACAGUGUAGUUGGACAUUUUCAUGGCUUGGGUUCAUCGGCUGGCCCAGAAACAGAGCAGAUUGCCUACCAGUCAUUGUUAGACUUGGCAAAUUUACUCACUGAUUCCAGUUCUUGUCCAGUUAUUAACUUUUUCUCACAAAGCUCAUUUUGCCUAUCAAACCAUGGGCCAUCAUCUGAGUUCCUCCUCCUGCUCACCAUUCCCAACACAAGCAUAUGCCCUGCUGUUAUUAACAUCUGACUUGUAGUAUAGUUUUCCGAAGUUCAGAAAAAUAUUUUUGUUCUGGUGAGGCAUUGCACUGUUACUGUAGCUGCAGUCAGUGUGAUUGUGAUGAUUCCCCACAAAAAAUAAGAAAUGUGAUUGUGAUGAUGCUUUCAUCCCUAGCACACAGUUUUGUAAGCCCCAAACCUUGAAUAUUUAGAUUGAAAUUAUAGAAAAACCAUCUAGCUGCCAACAGAACAAAAAAAAUGCUUCCUUUCUUUACAUUUAGCAAAUUCCUAUUUAUAUAGCCUUUAAAAAUUUCUGAGUACGACUGGUUGAACAAUUGAAUGCCAUAUUUUCCAUCUUCUGAGGAAACCGAGCAAUCUUUUUAGACACAGGAACUUCAUAGACAUCACUACCUCCUCUGCCCUCUGGUCACCAUUGUAUACCAAAUAUCUCAUUGUGCAGAUUUUUUUUUUCUUCAAAAAACUCUGAAUUUCAGCAGUCCCCACAAAACAGCCAUUUUUCUGAAACAGAAGUUCUACUAUUGCAGAAGUGUGUGUAAAGUACAUUUUUUCCCCUCUUCUCAAAAGAAGAAAUUUUGUUAUAUCUGAAUGAUGGCCACUCCAUAUGAAACUGGAGUACUACAUAGGAUCUCUGAAGCAACAAAGAGAGCUUAGAGAUCAAUAAAGGAACUUCCUGCCUUCCCAAACCUAGUGGAUCAUUGUAAGGACAAAAUUUUAAACAUGCUAUUAAUUUUAAGUACAAUAACUAGAAACAGAUUUCCAUUGGAAGAAACUGGACAGAACAAUGAAAUUUAGUUAUUCAUAUGUUGCAGAGGCUCAGAGGCUGCUUGGAAUCUGCUCAAGACCUGGAUGUAUUUACUAACCAAAAUGUCUUAUUCACCAUGGCUCUGAUUCCUGUUCAACAGAGAAGGAUGGCCAGAGCCUCACUAUCUUGGGCUCUCUGGUCAAUAUCUAAAGAAUGCGGUCUAGGCAUCUUAAUAUAUCUGCAGCACUAAAGCAACAACAUCGACUUCACAUUGAUCAGGUCCUUGAAGUGCCUCCCUCGUGGCGAAUACAAUUACAGGGCUGGGAUAGUGUUAGGGUUAGAAGAACCUUCUGGGGGGAGCCCAGGAAAUAUGGAUCAAUAUCCAGGAUCUGUGUGACACUGAAUUGAUGAAAAUGAUAUAUGGGUGUAUUUACUGGACAAAUCUAGGAAAUUUACAGCUAACUUCUUACAUUUGCAAGCUGAGUCUCAAUCUGAGUUGCUCUUCAAUAUGAGCUCCUAUUCACAAUUUAACUAAAUAUCUGAAAUCUUUGGAUUGAACAUGUAGCAAAAUCCUCCCAGUCAUUGGAAAAAAAAAAGGGCAACCUGGUGCAUGUAGCUCCCGCUUGCGCAGGGUCCAGGGAAGGGUCCGACCACUUUGGGUCUAUAGUACGCAGCCUUUCCCUACAUUUCUGUAAGAGGCUGUUUCCAGGACUUGAACCCAUGACCUCAUGGUCACAAGGCAGCAGCUUUACCACUGCGCCAAGGCUCCCCUUCCCUCCCAGUCAUUGGAAACAAGAAAAAAUACAUAUCUCAUCUAUUAUCAACACUUUAGGUUAUCUGGAGUGUUAAAAAGGGCAAACAAUAUCAAUACAUGUAGCAUUUUACAGUUUUCUCAAAACGGCUUAGAAUAGGUUUGAGCCAUCUUUUAUCGUUUUGAGGAAAUCAAGCCGUACCUAGCGUCAUAAAAAGGCAGUGGAAAUGCUGCAGAACAUAAAGGAACUUGUUGUAACUAACAUACCAACUGAUUGAUGUCAAUUAGUUAGUCCCUCAGAUUGCCAAUUUGCUUUUACUCUGCAUUUCUCUGCUUUAUUGGAGCUAUGAGAAGUUUAAAACUUGUUAUUAAUUUCAACCAUGAUAGCUCAAAGCAGAUUUGUGUUACAAGGAAAACCUGAACAAAACAAUACAAAUAAGUUCAUCUGAUUGUAAUAAUUUGAGAAAAUACAGCAGUCCAUAGCUUUGCUUUACAUAAGAGAAUCCCCUACUUACAAUCUAAUUGGCUACCUUGUCAGGAUUGUCUCGUUUCACCUAGGGCCUGAUACAUCUGAGGCUAGAGGUGGAGCUGAAGACCUCACAUUUCCAGCACUACCAAAAUUUGCUGAAUUCACAACAAAGUUAUGAUCUAUGUUGAUGUCUAUAUUCAUGGCACCUUCCAAUACUUUUACUACCUCAGACAUUUUAGGCCUUCUUUUGCAAUCAAUCUGCAAGCACCACAUUGCAAGCAUGAUCAUCUGAAUUACAUCUUGCUUGUGUGCUUGCAUGUCGGUGCUGUUAUUGUCAAUCAAAUCUACCAACCGAUCACUCUUCACCUUUUCCUCCAAUAGGGUAAUGAGAUGAAUGCUCUCCUCUGACCGGGAAGUGUCAAGGUUCUUUCUUCCACUCAUGAUUUCCAUGACCACAAUGCCAAAGCUAUAGACAUCUGCCUUUUCCGUGAUCUGUGAUGUCAACCAUUCAGGAGCUAAAUACCCAGGUGUGCCUCUCAUUCUAGUAACCACUUGGCUCAUAUCCCUGUCAAUGAGCUUGCAUAGUCCAAAAUCAGAAAGUUUAGCAUUGAAGUUGUCAUCUAAGAGGAUGUUGUGUGGUUUGACAUCCAAAUGAGCAAUUCGUUUUGUGCACUCCUCGUGAAGAUACGUGAGGCCCUUAGCUAUAUGAGUGAUAAUCUUGCACCGUGUGCUCCAAUGUAGAGGAGGAGCAUCAUUGUCAUGUCGACAAUAGAUCCAUCUGUCCAAGGAUCCUUUGGGCAUGUACUCAUAUACCAAGAGCCUAUGGGAUUUCUCUGCACAGAAGCCAAUCAAUCUCACCAGGUUAAUGUGAUGAAUGCUGCCAAUUGUCUGAACCUCUGCCGAAAAUUCUGUUUUGCCUUGACCAGAUCGAUCCAAACGUUUUACCGCAAUCCUUUCAUCAGCAAAUUGACCCUUGAAAACAGACCCAAAUCCUCCUUCCCCGAGCUUGUCUUUGAACUGCUCGGUUGCUGCUUUUAGCUGUUGAAAUGUGAACCUCAUUGGUGUUCCUUGUAGCUCCCCAAACUCUUCCUCUUGUUCCAUCCCAUGCUGCCAUUGUGUUCUUCGUUUACGUAUGAAGAAACUGACGAGGAACAAGAUGGUGAAGAAAAUGAAGCCACCUACCGGAGCUAGAAUUGCGACAACUCUUCUUACAGAGGGGGGGUUUGGUUUCAUGCUUGUUGGCCCAAUAGCUGCAGGCAGAGUACUUGGGGUCGGUGGUGUUACCUCGGCCGGGGGCGCGGGCAGGGGACUGUCAGCUGUAGGUGACAGUGCAUUAAUCUGGGGACUUUCAGCUGUAGGCGUCAGUGCUUGAUUAAUCUGGGGACUUUGAGUUGUAGGCGAUAGUGUGUGAUUAAUCAGGGGACAGAAAACGACCUGGUAGUUGGUCCCCGACGGGCAAUUGAAAGUUCUGGUGGAACCAUCGUCGGGGUAGCUGUAGGCAUCUGGGCACAUCCGCUUAAAGAAUUUCGAGUAAUUUGUGGGGCUGCUUAUUGUGCUUCCAUUCAAGCAGUAUAUGUCCUGCUUGAACACUGUGCACGCGUUGUUACAACCCCCCGGAGCCUUCAGGUCGCCUGGGCACUGCGAUGUGAUGUUGGCUGCGCAGCGCAGCCCCUUGCCGCACCCUGACCUUCCCCGAACCAGCACCGGCAGUAACUCCAUGGGCACAUUGAAGCCGUCGAGGAGGGAGAUGUCGAAGAAGUCAUUCGUUUGGUCUUGGCCAAGCGUGAAUUCGCCCAGCGUGUUGGGCGGUUGACCAUUCCCCUUACAAACGAGCAAGCCGCCGCAACCGCCAGUUUGGCAUGACCCUAUGCCUUCGCCAUGGAAUGAACAGUCUGUGCGUGCCCAGAUGCGCCCGCCCAUGGUGCCAGCGGGAACGUCCAGCAGCCACGUCUCCCCCGGAUCGAGCUUCACGCCACCUCCAACUGGAAUAGCGGCUGGCCACACGGUGUAGGAGCAUCGGUUGAUGAUACUGAAUAUGGUGGCCUCGCUGGUGGCAGCGAGGAGAAGGAGAGGUAGGAGACAGAGAGCCGAAGAGGUACUCGCCGGUGCCAUUUGUUGUUUUUUCUGCUUGCUCCCGUUAACUUGAAUCAGAGUCUGAGUUUCCUAGCGCUAUUGCAAACUUGAGUCAGAGUCUGAGUGACAGCUAACAGGAUGGAAGAGUGGUAGGGGAUUGCAAAGUUGAAUCAGAGUCAAAGUUGACCGCAUCUGUGUGUUGAAUAAUUCAAUGGUCAGCAUAAAAACAGCCUAACAUACUCUGUAGUGAUGACUGUUUGAUAGGACCAGACUUGCUUGUUUGCUUGUUUAGUCCCUUGCAAAUUGUACCUGUACUGAGUCUUACCCCAAAAAGAAGGAAUCUGUAUAUGAGCAUAAUGUAUUGUUUGAUUAAUUUUGUUUCCUAACAAAAUUCUUUAAGCUGAUGUAGACUGAGAUUUUGUUUUAUGUUUGCCUUUCGUGAAAUCGUUAGAUUGCACAUCUUAAUUUGUUCAUUUCUGAUCUGCUGUCAUGAUUUUUUUUUCGCUACAGUCAGACCCAGAAUCUUGAGUCAGCAACCAUCUUGGUGGUUGGGGGCAAGCUGAAGUUGACAGCGGAUGUCAGCUGCCUGGAAGCAGCUGGAGGUCUCCUUCACUACUCUCUGGUUUGCGUGCAAACGAGAGUGGCGAAAACCUUGUGAUCUUUGCGAAAAUCUCUGUUGAUUGGUAGCUUUCUUUUAACACAUUUUGUGGCGCCCGAUCCUAAGGUUGCAUGACUUGUUUGGUUGCGCUGUUGGUAGAAUUGAAUCUCGCAGCUGGUAUUAGCUGAUUGUAAUUCAAUUUCCGAGUACUGGUAUGUACUACUACUACCUUGUCUCUUACAAAUUAAUUGAAGUUCUAGUUCUGUUCAUUUUUUAGCCUGGUACUACUGUCAAGAGGGGAAAACCAUCAUGCAUGGUUUAUUUUGGAAUUAUUAGUAAACAGUAAGCAUUGCAUUAACCUUACCAUCCAUAGGACAGACGUCAGCUUGACCAAGAUUUGAUCUUCAAAGUACUCUCAAGC
rnacentral:lncRNA from 1 species